UGAUUAGGUGUCAACGGAUUAUUUGAAAUGUUAGAAAAGGCAUGUUUGGAAAACAACUUUACGUUCUACUUGAGGUGGAAGCGAAAAUUAAUGGCCCAGAACAGCAGCAGCAACAGUGCAUUACCGACUCCCACGCAGGGUGUUUUGUGGGGAGGUGUGCCAAAUAUGGAUUUCAAGUCGGGAG